rnacentral:tRNA from 1 species
GGCGGCGAAGCCUGGUAGAGCGUUGCCUUGGUAAGGCAAAGGCCGCGGGUUCUAAUCCCGCCAGAGCCU